UACGGUUACCUUGUUACGACUUCAUCCCAGUCACCAAUCCCACCUUCGGCAGCUCCUUCCCCAAGGGGUUAGGCCACUGACUUCGGGUGUUACCGACUUCCGUGAUGUGACGGGCGGUGUGUACAAGCCCCGAGAACGUAUUCACCGUGGCUUUGCUGAUCCACGAUUACUAGCGACUCCGGCUUCAUGGAGUCGAGUUGCAGACUCCAAUCCGAACUGAGGACGACUUUACGGGAUUGGCUGACCCUCGCGGGAUCGCAGCCCAUUGUAUCGCCCAUUGUAGCAUGCGUGCAGCCCUGGAUAUAAGGGGCAUGAUGACUUGACAUCGUCCUCGCCUUCCUCCGAGUUGUCCCCGGCAGUCUCCCAUGAGUCCCCACCAUUACGUGCUGGCAACAUAGGACAAGGGUUGCGCUCGUUGCGGGACUUAACCCAACAUCUCACGACACGAGCUGACGACAGCCAUGCACCACCUGUCAUGGGCGCUUACGCACACUGUGUUUCCACAGCUAGACCCAUGAUGUCAAGCCCAGGUAAGGUUCUUCGGGUUGCAUCGAAUUAAGCCGCAUGCUCCGCCGCUUGUGCGGGGCCCCGUCAAUUCCUUUGAGUUUUAGCCUUGCGGCCGUACUCCCCAGGCGGAACACUUAAUGCGUUAGCUACGACACAGCAGACAUGAAUCAGUCCGCUACAUCUAGUGGUCAU
rnacentral:rRNA from 1 species